AGAGACAGCAGCAGCCGCGGUAAUACGUAGGGGGCAAGCGUUGUCCGGAAUUAUUGGGCGUAAAGCGCGCGCAGGCGGUUCUUUAAGUCUGGUGUAUAAGUGCGGGGCUCAACCCCGUGAGGCACUGGAAACUGGGGAACUUGAGUGCAGAAGAGGAGAGCGGAAUUCCACGUGUAGCGGUGAAAUGCGUAGAGAUGUGGAGGAACACCAGUGGCGAAGGCGGCUCUCUGGACUGUAACUGACGCUGAGGCGCGAAAGCGUGGGGAGCAAACAGGAUUAGAUACCCCGGUAGUCCCUGUCUCUUAUACA
rnacentral:rRNA from 1 species